CAAUAGCGUAUAUUUAAGUUGUUGCAGUUAAAAAGCUCGUAGUUGGAUUUCGGAUGGGACUUGCCGGUCCGUCGUUGCGAUGUGCACUGGCCAGUCCUAUCUUGUUGUCGGGGACUAGCUCUUGGUCUUCACUGGCCGGGACUAGGAGCUGACGAGGUUACUUUGAGUAAAUUAGAGUGUUCAAAGCAAGCCUACGCUCUGAAUACAUUAGCAUGGAAUAACACGAUAGGACUCUGGCUUAUCUUGUUGGUCUGUGAGACCAGAGUAAUGAUUAAGAGGGACAGUCGGGGACAUUCGUAUUUCAUUGUCAGAGGUGAAAUUCUUGGAUUUAUGAAAGACGAACUUCUGCGAAAGCAUUUGUCAAGGAUGUUUUCAUUA
rnacentral:rRNA from 1 species